GACGAACGCUGGCGGCGUGCUUAACACAUGCAAGUCGAACGGAAAGGCCCUGCUUGCAGGGUGCUCGAGUGGCGAACGGGUGAGUAACACGUGGGAGAUUUGCCCGGCACUGCGGGUUACGUCUGGGAAAGUGGGCCUAUUACCCGUAAGGAGCCAGGGUUAGAGUGAUGGUUGGAAAGAUUUUUCGGUGUCGGAUGAGCUGGCGGCCUAUUAGCUUGUUGGUGGGGUAAUGGCCUACCAAGGCGGCGAGCGGUAGCCGGACUGAGAGGGUGGACGGCCACACUGGGACUGAGGGACGGCCCCGAUUGCGAAGGGUGGCAGCAGGGGGGAAGAUUGCACCAUGGGCGCAAGCCGGAUGCAGCGACGCCGCGGGUGGGAUGACGGUCUUCGGGUUGUAAACGCCUUUCGCGAGGGACGAAGCUUGUUGUGACGUUACCUAGAGAAGAAGCACCGGCUAACUACGUG
rnacentral:rRNA from 1 species